UAUCUGUUGCAUUUCCAUGUUUGUCUUUGUUGUUCAAACAGUAUUCUUUGUCUACAAUCAUCGCCGACAUCUAAACCUAUUCCUCCGCAGAAUUUUAUGUUUGUCACGAAAAGAACAGAAAGAAGAAAGACAAGAAACUCCUACUUAUUCAAACGUUGAAAGCAACUUGAAAGACAGAGAAACAUCGACUAAGAGAUAUCCGUCAAAUGACAUACCAAUGCCAGAGUCGAUUUCAACUCGUUUCAAUGCAACCGUCAUUUAUGAAUGCGUUGAAGGAAAUCAAACUCAGCA